AUGGGUACAGAGUUUCUAUUUCGGGUGUUGAAAUGUUUUGAAAAUAGUGGUGACAGCUGCACAACAUUCAUGAGUGUAAUUAAUACCACUGAAUGGCACGACUUUGGGUUUAUGUCCCUUCCUCCCCGAGGCCGGGGGCAAUGCAGUCACCUAACUAGGUCCUGGAGGCCCGGCAGUGGCCGCGGGGAAGUGCCUCUCCUAGCCUCACAUGUCCCCGGGACUGCCACUUGCCUCUUGACGUGCUGUCAUCGUGUCUCUGGGUGAACUUCUGCGUGUGCCUGUGAAAUUUCACGAUCUUCCAAGUGAACAACCUGGCAGCACAAACACUGAUACCGAAGAAAAGAACUGCUGGAAGUUUCUCCCACAAGGUGAGAGUGAGGGUGUGCAAACACGCCCGCCGCUGUGAGGCCACACGUCAGAAACACUAACACCAAGGAAGACUUCUCUGACUCAAGCGGUAAAAUCGUUUCUUUCUUUCUUCUUUGUAAUUGCUGCUGGCCUCCUGCUAACAAGCACUCACGGAAUGAGUAGUUGAUCCAGGGCAACCGUGUCUUCUCGGGCGAGCAUGGUGGCGUGUAUUCGUGUGGGGUCGGCCUUCCCCCUUGGCGUCGUAUUUUCCAAUCCCCGUGAAGAUGCAAUUACUCUUCUAAUCAGCUGGCCCUCGUCCUAAGCACUGGAGGUUUGUCCUGGGACUCCUGUGGGGCCUGGAACUUCACCGGCAGAGAUAGAAGAGGUUCCAUGUGGACCCUUGUCAAUCUGAGCCCAUGCACUGUGGACGGUGAGAGAAGAGUAGAAAGAGGAAGCAAGUUGGGCAUAUCAACGUCCUUUGGUUUUGUGGAUCUGUCGAAACUCGCUGCUGUGACCAGCUCGGUUGGUGGUGUUGACUUGAUGAGCUUGGAUUCGAGGGCUCUGCAUUUCCUACCAAAGCAGUGUGGUUGUGCCUUAGCACUAAUGGCCUGCGUUCCCGUGGCGGGGGCCAGCCCUCUUCGCUGCUGACAGGUGCCCCCCGCACCUUCUGGAGGCGUGCUCGCCGCAGCACGCAGUGCACACAGGGGACAGCUAUCUCGAGCAUGUUUGGCAAAGGCUAUCUUUGUGCUUCCUCGUUUUUCUUGAUAGUGUUCUUGUGCCACGGUAACUAGGGCCCAACGAUUGUGCAAGGGGGACUAUUUGCCUUUAUUUGCAAAACAGCGAUGGGUGAAGGGAGUGCAUCGUUCACAUGCAACGGUCUUGCAGGAGGGCACAGUAGCCGGCAGCUGUACUCACU
rnacentral:lncRNA from 12 species